ensembl:snoRNA
CCCGAGACUGAGUCCCAUCCUGACACAACUCUUGUCUUGGUGUGCUAGGGUCCUCGGAGAGGACCCGCUGGCCUUGAUUCCCUGGUGGGGCAAACAAGGCCUCCACUAGCGCCCUGCUCAGAAACAUGC